rnacentral:rRNA from 1 species
UACUUAGGGUGCAAGCGUUAAUCGGAAUUACUGGGCGUAAAGCGUGCGCAGGCGGUUUUGUAAGUCUGUCGUGAAAUCCCCGGGCUCAACCUGGGAAUUGCGAUGGAGACUGCAAGGCUAGAAUCUGGCAGAGGGGGGUAGAAUUCCACGUGUAGCAGUGAAAUGCGUAGAGAUGUGGAGGAACGCCGAUGGCGAAGGCAGCCCCCUGGGUCAAGAUUGACGCUCAUGCACGAAAGCGUGGGGAGCAAACAGG